rnacentral:rRNA from 1 species
UACGAAGGGGGCUAGCGUUGUUCGAAUUUACUGGGCGUAAAGCGCACGUAGGCGGAUCGUUAAGUCGGGGGUGAAAUCCUGGAGCUCAACUCCAGAACUGCCUUCGAUACUGGCGAUCUUGAGUCCGGAAGAGGUGAGUGGAACUCCUAGUGUAGAGGUGGAAUUCGUAGAUAUUAGGAAGAACACCAGUGGCGAAGGCGGCUCACUGGACCGGCCAUUGACGCUGAGGUGCGAAAGCGUGGGGAGCAAACAGG